AUUGAACGCUGGCGGCAUGCUUUACACAUGCAAGUCGAACGGUAACAGGCCGCAAGGUGCUGACGAGUGGCGAACGGGUGAGUAAUGCAUCGGAACGUGCCCAGUCGUGGGGGAUAACGCAGCGAAAGCUGCGCUAAUACCGCAUACGAUCUCUGGAUGAAAGCGGGGGACCGAAAGGCCUCGCGCGAUUGGAGCGGCCGAUGUUAGAUUAGGUAGUUGGUGGGGGAAAGGCCCACCAAGCCAACGAUCUGUAGCUGGUCUGAGAGGACGACCAGCCACACUGGGACUGAGACACGGCCCAGACUCCUACGGGAGGCAGCAGUGGGGAAUUUUGGACAAUGGGCGCAAGCCUGAUCCAGCAAUGCCGCGUGCAGGAAGAAGGCCUUCGGGUUGUAAACUGCUUUUGUACGGAACGAAACGGUCCGGGUUAAUACCCUGGGCUAAUGACGGUACCGUAAGAAUAAGCACCGGCUAACUACGUGCCAGCAGCCGCCGCCGUAA
rnacentral:rRNA from 1 species